AGAGUUUGAUCAUGGCUCAGGAUGAACGCUGGCGGCGUGCUUAACACAUGCAAGUCGAACGGAAAGGCCUCUAGCUUGCUAGAGGUGCUCGAGUGGCGAACGGGUGAGUAACACGUGGGUGAUCUGCCCUGCACUGUGGGAUAAGCCUGGGAAACUGGGUCUAAUACCAUAUAGGACCGCACUUUGGAUGGUGUGGUGGAAAGCUUUUGCGGUGUGGGAUGAGCCUGCGGCCUAUCAGCUUGUUGGUGGGGUAAUGGCCUACCAAGGCGGCGACGGGUAUCCGGCCUGAGAGGGUGUACGGACACAUUGGGACUGAGAUACGGCCCAGACUCCUACGGGAGGCAGCAGUGGGGAAUAUUGCACAAUGGGCGCAAGCCUGAUGCAGCGACGCCGCGUGGGGGAUGAAGGCCUUCGGGUUGUAAACUCCUUUCGCUAUCGACGAAGCCACUUGUGGUGACGGUAGGUAGAUAAGAAGCACCGGCUAACUACGUGCCAGCAGCCGCGGUAAUACGUAGGGUGCAAGCGUUGUCCGGAAUUACUGGGCGUAAAGAGCUCGUAGGUGGUUUGUCGCGUCGUCUGUGAAAUCCCGGGGCUUAACUUCGGGCGUGCAGGCGAUACUGGCAUAACUUGAGUGCUGUAGGGGAGACUGGAAUUCCUGGUGUAGCGGU
rnacentral:rRNA from 1 species